UACGGAGGGAGCUAGCGUUGUUCGGAAUUACUGGGCGUAAAGCGCACGUAGGCGGCUUUGUAAGUCAGGGGUGAAAGCCUGGAGCUCAACUCCAGAACUGCCUUUGAGACUGCAUCGCUUGAAUCCGGGAGAGGUGAGUGGAAUUCCGAGUGUAGAGGUGAAAUUCGUAGAUAUUCGGAAGAACACCAGUGGCGAAGGCGGCUCACUGGACCGGUAUUGACGCUGAGGUGCGAAAGCAUGGGGAGCAAACAGG
rnacentral:rRNA from 1 species